UACGUAGGGCGCAAGCGUUGUCCGGAAUUAUUGGGCGUAAAGAGCUCGUAGGCGGUUCGUCGCGUCGGCUGUGAAAUCCCGGAGCUCAACUCCGGGUCUGCAGUCGAUACGGGCGGACUUGAGUACUGCAGGGGAGACUGGAAUUCCUGGUGUAGCGGUGAAAUGCGCAGAUAUCAGGAGGAACACCGGUGGCGAAGGCGGGUCUCUGGGCAGUAACUGACGCUGAGGAGCGAAAGCGUGGGGAGCGAACAGG
rnacentral:rRNA from 1 species